rnacentral:rRNA from 1 species
GCAAAUCUCAAAAAAACAAUCUCAGUUCAGACUGCAGGCUGCAACUCGCCUGCACGAAGUCGGAAUUACUAGUAAUCGUAGGUCAGCAUACUACGGUGAAUACGUUCCCGGGCCUUGUACACACCGCCCGUCAAACCAUGAGAGUUGGCAACACCCGAAGUCGGUAGUCUAACCGCAAGGAGGACGCCGCCGAAGGUGGGGUUGAUGAUUAGGGUUAAGUCGUAACAAGGUAAC